GGCCCUUACGACCAGGGCUACACACGUGCUACAAUGGCGCAUACAAAGAGAAGCGACCUCGCGAGAGCAAGCGGACCUCAUAAAGUGCGUCGUAGUCCGGAUUGGAGUCUGCAACUCGACUCCAUGAAGUCGGAAUCGCUAGUAAUCGUGGAUCAGAAUGCCACGGUGAAUACGUUCCCGGGCCUUGUACACACCGCCCGUCACACCAUGGGAGUGGGUUGCAAAAGAAGUAGGUAGCUUAACCUUCGGGAGGGCGCUUACCACUUUGUGAUUCAUGACUGGGGUGAAGUCGUAACAAGGUAACCGUAGGGGAACCUGCGGUUGGAUCACCUCCUUA
rnacentral:rRNA from 2 species